rnacentral:lncRNA from 1 species
AGGAAAAGGUUAAAGGGGAAAACUGAUCCAGGGACUAACUCUGUCUCAGGGGCCAGAGCUGUAAGCCAAAAACGAAGAACAUGGAGACAUGGAGCCACUGGAAGUAAAAGAGCAGGCCCGCCAGCUAGCAAGAUGCUUCUUGUCGGUAGCUUUCAGGAGGUUUUGUAAAGGUACGACCCGCAAGCACACACUGAACAGAGAAAGGGAACGCUCUUGUCUGAGAAAGAAGCCAGGCUUUCUACAUGCACAUCUGCUGCGGACACCCGGCCCUCAGUUCCGUUUUCGUUCCCAUACGACUUCUUCGAGAAAGGUUUUUAAAGAAUCUGAAGAUAAGCUGGUGGGCUCCGGAACAAAUCCUCUUCCAUAGAAGACAUCUGAGAAAGACCUGAUUCGAAAGAAGAGACUUGAAGACUUGAGAAACUUCCUGUUGACAAUUCUGUACCACACGGCCUGGACGCCCGGAAGACGCAGCUGGCAGCCACUGUCCACAGCCCACGGAGGUUCUUAGGGAAGUUUCUAGAAGACCUUGUGCUUUAGAGAGUUGUGAAAACGCAAGUGUUGUUAGUUCUUGAGAGGGACUUCCUUCCAAGCAGAAGAUGAACUGUGUGUGGCUCUGGUUGCCAAUUUGGCAGAAUCACAGUGGAAGAUGUGAACAGUGGUAAGAGAGCUGUCAGCACGUCAGCAGAGUCUCCUGAAGGAGUUAGGCCCUGGGGUCAGAUGAUUCUCCAGCUCUCAUCUUUGCCACAAAGGGGCUGCCAUGAUCCAAACACAGCGGCUUCUCCAAACACAGAGGAUCUGUCGGUUUGGCUCUACAGCUUAUGUGGGAGCGAGGGUGAUUUGCAGGAGGUAAAGGAGGAUCCCUCUCAGCAUCCUGCUAUCGGUAGUGAUCUCUCAGCAUAAAUCAGCUUCUCAGGCAGAGCUCAGGCUGCUAAAGAGAAGGGAGGGUUCUCUCCAAAAACAGAGUCUUUUUGGCAGAGAUGGUGGACCUGGCAUUGUAAAGAACGGGUUAUGAGUUGAUGAAUUAUUUAUAACGGAUUUUUUUAAAGCACUUGUUGCUAGACUCUGACGCUUUCCUAUCUAAACACCUCCUCUUCUCUGCCUCCACCCUCACCAGAUCCCCCUGUCCUGGGUCCUGUCUCCUCCGGAGUACCUUGGGCUGGGCUGCUUCAUUGUAUUACAAACAAGUUAAUCCCCUUAUGCUCAGGAUGCAAAUGCGAUGGAGCCAAGGUCUGGGAAGCUAUGCAAAACAAUCUCUUAAGAAGCCUUUUCCCUUUUCCCUAAUGCCAGGACAGUACAAGAUGGCAGAUUUAGAAUUUAAGACUCGGAGGGUGCGCAAACAUCAAUCAUGAAAAUCAAACAACGUUCCA